AAGACUACUGGUUUUGUUUGACAUCCUGGGAGAAACGCGCAGCCCUCCACGGACGCCGGGGCCAAGGCGCACACCCCGGCGCCGGCAGCUGAGCGAAGCGUUGACUUCAAACUGUCCGCCGCGCAGUGCCUGCAAAGAGCCGCAGCUCGCAGGCUAAGAGCGCUUCCAGCGCCCGCCGGGUUUAACUUGGGCCCCCGCCGGAGAGAGGGACGGUGGGGCUGCGGGGUCGCCCUGGUCGCGGCGCGCGGAGCUGGGCCCAGGACACUCAGCCGGCUCCUCUUCCAGCGAAAUCCUCGCGCCGCCCGUGUAGCUGCGAACGCACCGCGCCCGGAGCCAGCCAGCCCCGAUGGGUUCAUCUCCUUGACGGACUCUCAUUCCAAAUCCUGCUUUCUGCCUUGUGAGGGGGGUAAGAGGGGUUUUGGCUACACACCUUCCUCCCCGUCAGCUGAGAGGAUGUUGAAAGAGACAAUGCUUUAAACUCUCCAGACUUUGACUUUUCAUCUGCAACGUGGAAAUAGUCAUUCCUUUCUGCAUGAGAAGGAUUUUUUUUUUCUCCAAAUGCCUUCAGGGCAGG